rnacentral:rRNA from 1 species
GAUGAACGCUGGCGGCGUGCCUAAUACAUGCAAGUCGAGCGAACAGACGAGGAGCUUGCUCCUCUGACGUUAGCGGCGGACGGGUGAGUAACACGUGGAUAACCUACCUAUAAGACUGGGAUAACUUCGGGAAACCGGAGCUAAUACCGGAUAAUAUAUUGAACCGCAUGGUUCAAUAGUGAAAGACGGUUUUGCUGUCACUUAUAGAUGGAUCCGCGCCGCAUUAGCUAGUUGGUAAGGUAACGGCUUACCAAGGCAACGAUGCGUAGCCGACCUGAGAGGGUGAUCGGCCACACUGGAACUGAGACACGGUCCAGACUCCUACGGGAGGCAGCAGUAGGGAAUCUUCCGCAAUGGGCGAAAGCCUGACGGAGCAACGCCGCGUGAGUGAUGAAGGUCUUCGGAUCGUAAAACUCUGUUAUUAGUGAAGAACAAAUGUGUAAGUAACUAUGCACGUCUUGACGGUACCUAAUCAGAAAGCCACGGCUAACCACGUG